rnacentral:lncRNA from 1 species
GCUGACUCUUUUCAGACGCAGCCUGCCUGCACCCAGGUGAAAUAAACAGCCAUGUUGCUCACACAAAGCCUGUUUGGUGGUCUCUUCACACGGACAUGCAUGAAAUUUGGUGCCGUGACUCGGAUCGGGGGACCUCCCUUGGGAGAUCAAUCCCCUGUCCUCCUGCUCUUUGCUCCGUGAAAAAGAUCCACCUAUGACCUCAGGUCCUCAGACCCACCAGCCCAAGGAACAGCUCACCAAUUUUAAAUAGGGUAAGUGGCCUCUUCUUACUCUCUUCUCCAACCUCUCUCACUGUCCCUCAACCACUUUCUCCUUUCCACUCUUCAAUCUCUCCCUUCUCUUAAUUUCAAUUCCUUUGGCCUUCAUAUCCUGGGAAGAGAUAACAGGACAGUGAGAGGAGUGGAGAAAACACCUCCCUUCUUUCAUUGCUGCCUGUUCCAUUCAGGGAGCCCCUGUGACUCCAAAAGUGGCCUUUCUCCUCUGAGCAUCUUAACAGAGGUUUCAGUAGAGGGUACUAUACUAAAUAAUGCAGCCCUCCUUCUUUCUUCCAUGCCAGAGAAGUUUACAAAACAAGGAGGAAGACUUCUACACCUCACAGCCAGGAUUCCCUGCUCUGGCUCUCGGCUGCUGCCUCAGGGUGAAUCUGUUGCUAGGUCAUCGUGGCAUCUCUGCAGAAUUUUCUUCAUUUUUUUUGUAGAGUUGAGGUCUCACUAAGUUGCCCAGGCUGGUCUGGAACUCCUGGACUCGAGCAAUCCCCCCGCCUUGGCCUCCCAAAGUGCUGGGCUUACAGACAUGAGCCACCGUGUCCAGCUGACAGGAGGUCUUAACAUCCUUGUUUUUCGGACGAGGAAACUGAGGCGUGGAGAGGUGGAGACUUACACAAGAUCAUAGAGCGAAUAGAGGGCAGAGCUGGAGUCUGAAGUCAGUCUGACCGACCAUGAAACUCACAUGUCAUCCUGACACCAUUCCAAUCCUGUGAGGUAAGGAUUAUCAUCCCUGUUUCAUAGAUGAGGAGACAGGGGCUCAGAGAGGGGGACUUAUGUUCUUGAGGUCACACAGCAUGUCCAUCGCAGCAGUGGGGCUGGAGCCCAGCUUCUCAGACUCCAAGGGCCCCAGGAAAACCUUUCAUCCUGUUUCAGCCAAGCGACUGCACUCAGAGGAAGGCACAGGCCCUGGGAUGACGGGAACCUUUUGUUCUCUGGUCCCUGAUUCCUGACCCCAGUCCCCACCUCCAGCUCUGUGGAGCUGGGAAGAUUCCAGAGCAGACAACUCAGCUGCCUUUGUGACUGAAACCGAGAGUAAAUGAAGGAAUAUUUAUGAAGUCUCUGCAACUUGCCAGGUGCUUUCACUAUGCAACCCUCCCUGCAGCAGUCCCGAGAAUGUGAUCCUGAGUUUACUUCUGAUGAAAGCAAGGCUCAGAGGGGCCACCUGCCUAAGGGCGUGCAGCUGGAAUGCGGGGAGCCAGGACUCAAGCUCUGGUCUGUCUCAUUCACUUGGAAGCCAGGCCCCUUUCCUCCCUCCCGCUCUGCGUGCAGGAGCUCCGUGGUGGGGCAGCUGCCCCGAGGGAAGGUCCUUCUGACCGCCAGUGUCUGUGGCUGGCUGUCCAGGAAGCAGAGCCAGGACUGGCAGCUUGGGCUCCGAGGACUGCCUCUUCCUCUUGGCUGCCAGGGAGUUUCCAAUCAUCAGAAGAAACAGACUCUGGGAACAGCUCUGCCACUUGUCCCAGCCCUGCCCCAGCCUCUGAGCAACUGGAGCCCAGAUGCCCUGGCCCACCCUAAGCUAUCCAUAAGCACAGGUGGGCCUGAAGGAGGCUCCCUGCUGGGCGUGGGCGAGGGUCUUGGCCUUCUAGGUGGGACCCUGCCUGCCAGGGGACAGCCUCUUAGGUGGGUGGGAAAGAGCUCUGUACUUGGGGUCACAAAUGUGGCUUCUGGCCCUGCUCCACCAAGGGCCAGUGCGUGAUUUUAAAUAGAUCUCUUCGCCUCUCUGAGCCUUAGUUUCUUGGUCUAUAAAAAAAUGGGACCCUAACCUCUCCUCACUGCGGUGUGGGAGGGAAAAUGAGUCAAGGCAAGAAAGUGCUGGAAACUGAAAGCCCUGGGCAGGACCUGCUCCAUAAUUUGCCAAGUUCAGGGCAAAAAUGAAAAGGUGGGGCCGGGCGCCCUGGCUCACACCUGUAAUCCCAGCACUUUGGGAGACUGAGGAAGGCAGAUCACUUGAGGUCAGGAAUUUGAGACUAGCUUGGCCAACAUGGGGAAACCCUGUCUGUACAAAAAAUACAAAAAAUUAGCCAAGCGUGCUGGCGCGCCUGUAGUCCCAGCUUUGCA